GCCUCCGUAGCUCAAUGGAUAGAGCAACAGACUUCUAAUCUGCAGGUUCCGGGUUCGAGUCCCGGCGGGGGCA
rnacentral:tRNA from 1 species